UCGUCGUUGUUCGUAGACAGCUGUCAGUUUCACGAUUCAUAUGUGUAGUGCCUACUCCAACCGAAAAACCACAGAUCCACGCACGAAGACGAAAAACAUGAUCAUACACAAACAAUUGGAAAUAUUUUUUACGAGUUUUGUCGAUUAGUUGAAAACGAUAUGUCACAAAAAACGAUGAUACUUUAAUACUUCUGAUCGACAUGUUUCUUUUUCUCCGACUUGUGACAGCCAAUAAAUCAUAUAAUUGUGGACGAAAUUAAGUGAAACAUUGACGACGCUGCCUACUAAGCCAAUUGAUUACCAAUUUUAUGGCCAGCUUAUUAUCGUGGAGACAAUGAGUAGUGAAACCUAUUGUUAUGGAUCUCUCUCACACAAAAUUCGAGUGUACGAAAUAUUCUAUGACACUCGUCAAAUGUGACCAUAAAAAAAAAUCUGGCAUAUGAAGAAUUAUUUAAGAUCGUCCGCAAAUCUGAAGAUUUCAUUUAAAACAACUUUGAGAAGGAGAACAUAUGGAGUUCGAAGUUUGAGAUCCUAUAAAUUGGCACCACAACCAAGAAACUUGGUAGGAAAAUUAAAGACAACGUGCAUUUUGAUAGACACGUAUGGACAUAUUAUACCGAACAGAAGGAGGCUGGGAUCUUUUUAUGUAAUAUUACACAAAGAGAUCCCAGCCACCUUCCAUUUGGUAUACGUCCAUACGGGUCUAUCAUCGUUAAAUAAUUGAUGUUACCGAUGAUGCAAAAUUAUGCUGAGACGAUGAAUGAUUCCACAUUUCUAAGACAAAAUAUUGAUAUUGUGGAAAUAGAAUUUGCUUACUGCAUCACCAAUCAUACUAUUGAAAUAACGUCAUCUCUAAUUUUUCUUCCUAUUAGGUUUAACCUAUAGGUGUUUCCAAAUUGGAGAUUUAAUUCCAAUGUUUAAGCUUGUAAUUUCUUAUCCUUGAUACCAUUAACAAAUCUUAGUUUAGGAUUCCAAUCUAUGAGAUUAAAGUAAUCAUAAAUUUUUUGUGACGUAUCGUUUUCAAUUAAUCCACGAAAUUCGUAAAAAAUAUUUUCGAUUGUUUAUGUAUGAUCCUGCUUUUCGUCUUCGUGCGUGGGUCUGUGCUUUUUCGGUUGGAGUGAGCACUACACAGAUGAAUCUCAAAACUGACAGCUGUCUACGAACAACGACAACGCGCGACGCUUUAUAUUAUACCAUAUAGGUACUACCAUGGGCGUAAAUUAUGUAAUUUUUUGGAAAAGAAUUUUUGUUUUAUGUUAAUAAUAAUACCAAUAAUUAGAUAUACUAAAUGUGUAGUCAUUUUAAUGUGAUAUCUUAGCUUAAUGUUAUAAUGUUCUACCUAUAUAAAAUAUAAUGACGUAUUUGGGUAUUUCUAUCCUUUGAAAACAUUUUGCCAACGACUUUAUGUUUCAGCGUAGAGGAAUUCACCAAGCGUACACAUCCACUUUUUUCAUAUGAUAAUAAAUUUAUUCAAGUUA